rnacentral:rRNA from 1 species
AACGAACGCUGGCGGCAGGCUUAACACAUGCAAGUCGAGCGCCCCGCAACGGGAGCGACAGACGGGUGAGUAACGAGCGGGAACGUACCUUUCGUUCCGUUACAACCACGGCUAACAGACGCUAACUCCGAACAGACACUCACGGGGAAAGAUUUAUUGCCGAAAGAUCGGCCCGCGUCUGAUUAGCUAGUUGGUGAGGUAACGGCCCACCAAGGCGACGAUCAGUAGCUGGUCUGAGAGGAUGAUCAGCCACACUGGGACUGAGACACGGCCCAGACUCCUACGGGAGGCAGCAGUGGGGAAUAUUGGACAAUGGGCGCAAGCCUGAUCCAGCCAUGCCGCGUGAGUGAUGAAGGCCUUAGGGUUGUAAAGCUCUUUUGUCCGGGAAGAUAAUGACGGUACCGGAAGAAUAAGCCCCGGCUAACUUCGUG